ensembl:lncRNA
GCCAUAAAACACCAGAAGAAGAAGAAAAAUUCAGUGCAUGCUCUGUGAAUGGUUCGAAAAUUGUCACUUAUCAAACAUGGAUUCUUCCAUGUAUAUUCAGUUUUUAGUCCUGGUUUGCAGUGAAGAACAAGCUCAGGGCGAGCCAUCUCAGGACUGUGCUCAACAUUCUCACAAGCUCCACACUGGGAAGAGGUCUGAUCCAGGAAGUUUUCACAUUGCUCUAUGAAGUUGAGCAAGCCCGCCGUCUCACAAGAAUCAUUGAAGGCAAGAAACUCCAGUCAGAUGGGCGGUCAUCCAUAGAAUGAGGAUGCCACAUCUGAGGAGGAGGAAACAAUCUACAAUCACCCUCUCCAAUGUCUCCUGGGACCUUUGAAAAUUGUCUUACAUCUGUGCUAAGCUAGCAUCCACAGCGUCCCUGAAACUGGCUUGUUAAGUGUGCUGUUUAUG